rnacentral:tRNA from 3 species
CGGGCUGUGGCGCAGUUGGUAGCGCGCGUCGUUCGGGACGACGAGGUCGUGGGUUCGAGUCCCGCCAGCCCGA